rnacentral:lncRNA from 1 species
AACCCUCACAUCUCUCUCUCUAUUUACGGCUAUACACACACACACAUACAAACCCACAUUUCUUCAACCAUCUAACCUAAAAUCAAGUAUACAUGGAGCCUUUUAUGAUGAUCUAAGAAUAUAGCAAAGAGAAGGAACUUUAAGGGAGCUUUAUACACACUUCUUGGAGCUUCAUAUAUCUUGUCUUCAUCUUCACAUCUUGCUUCCCUAGCCUAAGUGCUAGUAGUAAUAUCAUCUAACCUUAUUUUUAUGUUCUUAUGUUUAGAUGCUGGAAGAGGAUAUUGCUGACAUCUUGGGUAAUAUCCUGAGAUUUAUUAAUUAACCACGUGCAGGUUAGAGGUUAAGGCUUACUAACAGUCGAAAGGACUUCUUCUCCUCAAGACUCGGACGAAUCUGUUGAAGAAGAGACGUUGAGCCCGAAAGACCAGGUCUACAACGUUCAAUGAAAGGAAUAUCCGGUGAAUCCCGCAAGUUUAGGAUAGUUUGUUGGUUUAUCUUUACUAUAAAUAGAUGUGGCGGAUCAGUUUAAGGCACACACUCUUUCACCAACACUUCCGUACGCUCUUACUCUCAAGUUCACAACAAUCACCACACUUGUAUCCAGAUCAUAUUGUAACACUUAGUUGAUCCGCACCACAUCCUACACUGUAUCCUGAUAUUUGAAGCAAUAAAGGAACAAGGCAGCUGAGAUUGUCAGCUCCCGAGGUUUUAUGCCGGCGAUCUAGAUUGAUCAAGGGCUUUC